GUUAUCAUGAUAAAUUUUUUGUAGUUACUCGUUGUUACGUCAUGCCAUUUCUGGGUAAGGGCGACGUUUAUCUAUGCGAUAAAAGGAUUUUUUAAAAACUCAGCGCAGCCUUGUUUGGCGGUGUAGGCGGCCUCAAAAAUGUCGCAAGAACGAUGCUUAUUAAUUUCCUCCAACAAUGAAACCAACACUACAAAAAGGCCGCUAGCUGUUGAUCCAUCGCUGUAAGUGAAGAGCAUCUUUAGGCCAGAAACUUGAAUAGUCCUUAGGUGAUAAUGUGUAAUAGUAAUACUUAAGGAACAUAUAUACAGGGUGCCGCAUCCAAGUCUGGAUAUAGGGAAUUAACAUGGGAA